AUUGAACGCUGGCGGCAGGCCUAACACAUGCAAGUCGAACGAGUGGCGGACGGGUGAGUAAUGUCUGGGAAACUGCCUGAUGGAUGGGUAUAACUACUGGAAACGGUAGCUAAUACCGCAUACCAUCAGAUGUGCCCAGAUGGGAUUAGCUUGUGGGUGGGGGAACGGCUCACCAAGGCGACGAUCCCUAGCUGGUCUGAGAGGAUGACCAGCCAAACGGGAACUGAGACACGGUGCAGACGCCUACGGGACGCAGCAGUGGGGAAUAUUGCACAAUGGGCGCAAGCCUGAUGCAGCCAUGCCGCGUGUAUGAAGAAGGCCUUCGGGUUGUAAAGUACUUUCAGCGGGGAGGCGUUACCCGCAGAAGAAGCACCGGCUAACUCCGUGCCAGCCGCCGCGGUAAUAC
rnacentral:rRNA from 1 species